AUUCUCAGACAUGUAUUGCGUUGUAGUUCAAAUGUUAUGUUUCAAAUACCUACACAGCUUUGCAACAUAGUGUUUGGCCUUUACAAAAGUCCAAACCUUUAUGUCUCACACACUCAAAGAGACACCAAACAUUCAGUGAUUGAUCCAGAUCCGAUCCCUACAAUACCCAAUGGCAAUAUAAUGACAUGUGCUUUCUGACCCCCUGACCUAAUCAGCAUGACAGUGUUGAUUAGGUCAGACAACGGCGACAGGGUGGUGGUGCCUGACCUUCCACAGUCGCCACACGGCCACAGUGGCACUGAGCUGCCGUUCGAGAUUGUUUGCAGCUUGUUUAGUCAUUGUUACCGAAUUAUUGCUUUUUUUUUGUUGCUAUUUUUGUUUGGUUUUCCAACUUUAAACACUAUUUGAGUGAGUUUGAUAUGCACUCCACUGGUGUUUCAAUCCUCAGUGUGAUACUAAGUAGGAUUGUCAGUCAGAAAAUGUUUAGAGCCUCCAGCGUCUCAGUGAAUCUUGCAGUUGGGGAGCUUUUGGACUUGCUCAGCAAGUCAGGGAGGCUGUUCCUCUCAGCUUUACACCCCUCCAGUCACAUUUCAUUUCACUAUUCCAGAUGGUUUUAAGCUAUUAUUAAGGUCAGCUGCCAUCAAGAUCUUGGAGUCAUUCCUAGUCUGACCUUUCGCCAGAGGUCAUUUUGCUGCAUGGAUGACCAUAUGAAGGGACCAAGGCCCUGGGCAUUAUUAUCUCCAGUAUAAUAGGAAUACUUAAAUAACUCCACCAAUCCUUUGUAGGACUUCAACAAGUACUUUUUUCCAUCACCUCAAAUAAAGAAGUCCAGUUUCUAAAUAAAAUGAGUCAAUAGCAUUUUUCAAAGAACUGACAUAGAAACUUGUUGAAGACAACUGCUUACCUUUAAGUAACUUAUUUAGCAAAAAAACACUGUAAAUACAAAAUUAUUACACGGAAUCUUUACAUAAUAGUGUAUAUGUGUAGUUGUAAUGUAAAUGUGAAUGCUGCAUUGAAAAGUUCUCACUAAAUUCUGGGGCUCUGUAAGCCCAUUCCUGUCAAAACACUGAAGAAUAUUUUGAGCUACAAUAUUACUUUGUAUUGUAGCUCUGUGCGCUUCUAGUUUUCCUCAAUACUUUUCUCCUUGAUUGCCCUGCCACCAUGUCAUCCACAUACCUUUAAUGUAUUAGUUUAGCUUUACUAAAUUACCAUAUCCACGCAGGCAGUAUCAAAAGAGGAGGAAGGGUGAAGAAUAUGUUGUAAUUUUUCUGCAAUAUUUGUAAGGAACAAGUAUUUUAUACAAUAUUUGUUUACCUUGCAAUCUUUACUAGGGGUGUAAAAUGUACAAUGUGUGAACCUUACACACUGUGAACUACACAACAUGUAAUCGUAAACAGAUUAUAUAUUGCAAUCCUCUGUUGGUGGCUCUGGACAAUACUACAAAUGUGCUUGCACACACUUUGCAUGUUUUCUGAUCAGUGAAUCUUCCAGUACAUACUUGGUAUAAUAAUAAAUAAUAAUAAUAAUACUUUAUUUGGAUAGCAUCUUUUUAAACAAAGGUGUCAUGUUCCGGGGUCUUUUAGCUCCUUUGUGGAGUUUUUGUGCAUGCACUCGUUUUUCUCCACCACUAGAUGGCGCCUUUACCAUUCCGUCGGAGGGCGUGGAUGACGUCAUCCCACACCUGAUGCGAGUUUUGGCUCAUCAGCGAGAUGUUCAAGAGGAGCUGACUGCCAGUCCUUCAGCGCCUGAGUGUUAGCCAGUCACGGUGUUUCCUCCUGGCUCCUCUACAACCGCUGAUCCUGAGCCUACCUGUCCGCCCUCCGACGUACUCCCUUUGCCUCCUGGAUCCCCGCUGUCAGACAAGACGACCACCUGGAACCUCUGAGAACUAAAACCCCGGACGCUGCAGUUACCCUCCCACUUCUCUAACCUGCCGAUCACAAUGAACUGUUUGUUCCCUGAACCAGCCUCUCUCCCUGGACCCGACCCGAGCCAACUAUUCCUGCCAGCAGUGUUUUCAAUAAAUUGAUCUUUUAUUUCA